CUGUGUAUAGAUUUUUAGGGGCACAGAGGAGCUUGCAUCUCUACAUUGCUUCUUCCCAAUCAUAUAUACAGUAUAUCCCUCAAUUUAUUUUGGUCAUCCUUUAUUUCCUUCUGUCACUGGGAAACCAAGUUCUUUCCUUACUUUGUAUUGAUAGCCAAGAAAGAAUAUCCAAUUGGAAAAAAAGGCAAGCAGAUUUUAUUGCUGGUCAGGAACGGAGGAGUGAGCUCUUUUUCUAAAGAACCCCUUCCGAAGGUGAUGGAAUCCAGGGAACUUUAAGGAAUUAGAUGUGGGGCGGGGAGGUAUGUAUGUAAGCAUGUACAGGGAGGAACUCCAGAUGUGCAGUUACAGAUCAUAAACAUGCUUCUUCAUAUGAGGUAUGUUCAGAAAAUGGCAGCAAUUUUCUUCUAGGGGUGGGGAUUUGAUAUGGUUUGGCUAUGUCCCCACCCAAAUCUCAUCUUGAAUUCCCAUGUGUUGUGGGAGGGACGCAGUGGGAGGUAAUUGAAUCAUGGGGGCAAGCCUUUCCCAGGCUGUUCUCGUGAUAAUGAAUAAGUCUCCUGAGAUCUGAUGGUUUUAAAAAGAGGAGUCCCCCCCUUUUUUUAAAAAAGUUUUUAAACUUCUAUUUGCAUAUUUUUGAAAAUUUUGCAUUCCAAUACUUAAAAUCAUUUGAACAAAAAAAAAAUGGCACUCUGAUUAAACAGUAUUACAGGCUGCAUGACACCUUGGGCCAGCUUGGUUUUACUCUAGAUUUCAUUGUUGUCCCACCCCACUUUUUCCACCCCACUUCUUCCUUCACCAACAUGCACGUUCUUUCCUUUUCUGCCAGCCAGAAAGUCAGAUGGGAGUGGCAGGCUUGGCCUUCAUUGUCAGUAGUUCUUUGGUGUGAAAGGGGCAGCAGAGUCAUUUAAACUUGAUCCAACCUCUAUGCAUCUUACAAAGUUAAACAGCUAAAAUAAGUAAAAUAAGAAAGCAAUGCUUGUGGAAUGUACAGUGCAUAUUGGCAGCACAUGCCUCAUUACGAUUCACCAGCUUGCUUCUCCUGUUCAAUCAUUUCUUUGGAAGGCAGUGGAUUUUUCUCUUGCACUUCUGUCUUCUUCAGUUUCGACUUAUCUCUUUGCCUCUGCCAUCCAUGUAAGAUGUGACUUGUUCCUCUUUGCCUUCCACCAUGAUUGUGAGGCUUCCCCAGCCAUGUGGAACUAUUAGUCCAAUUAAACCUCUUUAUUUUGUAAAUUGCCUAGUCUCAGAUAUGUCUUUAUCAGCUGCGUGGCCUAAUACAGGACUUUAGCAUUAUAAUGAUACGUUAAUGAUCUGAAGGUAACAAGGCAUCACCAGCUCAGUUUGCUGGGGUCUUGCUCUGACCUUAUCUUCCUCUAGUAAUUGCCAAAGAGUCCUGAGGCUCCAGCAGCCUCCUGGGCCAUCUGAAGUUCUCUUAAGCAAACAUACCUGUAGAAGCCACAUGAGCCACAAGGGCCAUGUGUACUACAUGGGUACAAGGAGGAG
rnacentral:lncRNA from 10 species